CUUACAAAAUCCUUCAUCAGUAGGAAUUUGGAAACUCCUCAAAGCUCUAAUCUAUCCCAACAACGUUGAUAAACCUGAGAAUAUAUUUGCCAACGGUACCAAUGAACUGCUUACCCUGGAUGAAACAGAAUACUUGUUUUUAUUCAUUUCUGAUCUUGAGAUUAAGGAUGAGAUAAUAACGUCUCUAACAUCGAUUCACGGAUACAAGAAGGGUAAGAUUGUGUGGGUACCUGUUGUGAAAGAUUGGACCAA